rnacentral:rRNA from 1 species
GACGAACGCUGGCGGCGUGCCUAAUACAUGCAAGUAGAACGCACAGUUUAUACCGUAGCUUGCUACACCAUAAACUGUGAGUUGCGAACGGGUGAGUAACGCGUAGGUAACCUGCCUGGUAGCGGGGGAUAACUAUUGGAAACGAUAGCUAAUACCGCAUAAUACUGAUUAUUGCAUGAUAAUUGAUUGAAAGAUGCUAUUGCAUCACUACCAGAUGGACCUGCGUUGUAUUAGCUAGUAGGUGAGGUAACGGCUCACCUAGGCGACGAUACAUAGCCGACCUGAGAGGGUGAUCGGCCACACUGGGACUGAGACACGGCCCAGACUCCUACGGGAGGCAGCAGUAGGAAAUCUUCGGCAAUGGACGAAAGUCUGACCGAGCAACGCCGCGUGAGUGAAGAAGGUUUUCGGAUCGUAAAGCUCUGUUGUAAGAGAAGAACGGGUGUGAGAGUGGAAAGUUCACACUGUGACGGUAUCUUACCAGAAAGGGACGGCUAACUACGUG